AGUGAACGCUGGCGGCGUGCCUAAUACAUGCAAGUCGAACGGAGAUUAAGUAGCUUGCUAUUUACUCUUAGUGGCGCACGGGUGAGUAAUAUAUGGCUAACUUGCCCAUUACUAAGGGACAACAGUUGGAAACGACUGCUAAUACCUUAUACUCCGUCUCUAUAUACGUAGAUCCGGGAAAGUUUUUCGGUAAUGGAUAGGGCUAUAUCGUAUCAGCUCGUUGGUAAGGUAAUGGCUUACCAAGGCUAUGACGCGUAACUGGGCUGAGAGGAUGAUCAGUAACAUGGGAACAGAGACACGGUCCAGACUCCUACGGGAGGCAGCAGUAGGGAAGAAUAAUAAAUGGGGGAAACAAUGAAGCAGCAACGCCGCGUGGAGAAUGACACUUUGCGGAGCGUAAACUCCUUUUAUUGGGAAAGAAUUAUGACGGUACCGAAGGAAUAAGCACCGGCUAACUCCGUG
rnacentral:rRNA from 1 species